AAAACAAUAACUGGAAUUAAGAAUCAGUCACCUCAAUAUAUACCUGUUCGUUAGAUACGAACCUACCGUACCUAACUGUUAGUUUUUGUUUAUUUUGUUUUGUUUUGUUUUGUUUUGUUUGUCUGGGUGAGGGUGACUGGAACGAACCCGGAAGUACACAGGAGUGUUGUUUGUAUUCUCUUGUUGCGCUUCGACUCUCCGGUUUGUCCACAGCUGUCAGUAUGGUGGUACUGAAAGGAAUCCCAUUCGUUUUAUCUCCCGAACUGCUGUAUGCUCUGGCUAAAAUGGGCCAUGGAGACGAACUGGUUCUUGCUGAUGCAAAUUUUCCAGUUUCUUCUGUCUGUGCUUGUGGUCCAAAGGAAAUAAGAGCUGAUGGUUUAGGAAUCCCUCAGCUUUUGGGGGCUGUUUUGAAGCUGCUGCCCCUCGAUACAUAUGUCCCGUCUCCAACUGUGGUCAUGGAACUAGUGGACAGUGACAAAGAGAAGAAUUUAACUGUUCCCGUUUGGGACGUCUACAGUGAGCUCCUGGAAGAAGUUGGAGUUAAGACUCCUUUAGAGAAGGUGGAGAGGUUUGCUUUCUAUGAAAGAAGCGAAGAAGGCUUUCGCUGUCGUAGCAACCGGGGAAACCAUCUCUCUAUGGUAACCUGAUACUGAAGAAGGGAGUAAUCUGCUGAACUUCUGGACAGAAGGCAUAUUUCCAUGAUGUGGCCUCCUCCAGUUUAUACAAAAAUCGCACUGUACGGAACAAAGUUUUUGCAGUCCUAUUUUUAAGUGGUAAUCUUUAACUCUGUUCUCACAUACUGGGAAGGUACACCUACAAGAAUAUAUAUUUUAUUUCAUUUGAAAUUGACGUUUGCAAUUUCAUAAACACAUCUCAUUUGAAUUUUGUUUGUUAGAACUUUUAUUAAUUUCAUACUUGAUCAUCCGUUGACACAUGAAUGAAGAAUAUGACAAUCAAAAUUGCUAUGUAUUUGUCAAAACCCCAGCUUUCCUCAAACCUUUGUACAAUACUACAAUACGUAUAUUGUCUGAAAUUGUUUCUUUUGGUCACAAAUUAAAAUCAGGACAGGGCAAAAAUGUUACACUUAAUUUUCUUUUAUUGUGUUUACAUGUAAGAAGCUGUCAAUUAAACACUUUAAACUUU